GAGCUUCAGCAGUAUUGGAUACAGUAUCAGUUAAGUGACUGUUGCAUUUGUUAUUGCUAUUAGCAUUCAAGAUUGCAGCACAAAAGCAAAGAGAAGCUCAAAGUGCAGAGCAAUGCUGGAUUACAGGAAGACUUAAAACAUUGGAAGUCUUUAAGAUGAGAGUUCUCUUUCAGGCUUCAGAGGUGCAUGGUGACAUCUGAAGGGACUUCUCUGAUAUAAGACCAGCCCAGUGAAGUGCUGUAAUGAUCAUGGUUUCAGCUCCCUGGAAGAAUGCUAUGCUUUAAAAUGAUUUAAAAGAAAACUUCUUCCUACCUUGAAUGCACAGUGUGUUGUUUUUUCUUCAAGAACUUAAAAAAAAAGAAAACAAGAAACCCACAGCCAACCAACCCACAGUUGUCUAGAGAGUAUCAUAUAUCCAAUUCUUCAUCCCAUGGUACUUUGUACCUGCAAUAAUGAGGUGCCAGAGAAGUGACUGUACAGGUAAACAUGAGUGCUAUAAUGCACUCCUUGACUAUUAAUAAAUAUCACUAUCUCCUCGAUGGCUACAUCAUGUAGGAAUGAACUGUGAGGAGGAUAAUCUGGGAGAGAAUAACUGCAAAACCUCUGCAACAGUGAUCUCACAGUAACAUCUGCAAGCAGUCAUACAGUUACUCCGUAUCACUAAUGUCCAAAGCUGGAGGGUGAAGAGAACAGAAAGAAAAACAUCCUCAACUGCAGCUCCAUCAAAUGUUGUACAACAAAUUAACUAGUUAAAUAAAUUCUAUAGUUGAUUUUGCUACCACUUUUAUAAAAUCGAAGAUCAUGACAAUAAAAUGUAUAAUCAUGGCCAAAACU